AGUCGAGCGGAUGAAGGGAGCUUGCUCCUGGAUUCAGCGGCGGACGGGUGAGUAAUGCCUAGGAAUCUGCCUGGUAGUGGGGGAUAACGUCCGGAAACGGGCGCUAAUACCGCAUACGUCCUGAGGGAGAAAGUGGGGGAUCUUCGGACCUCACGCUAUCAGAUGAGCCUAGGUCGGAUUAGCUAGUUGGUGGGGUAAAGGCCUACCAAGGCGACGAUCCGUAACUGGUCUGAGAGGAUGAUCAGUCACACUGGAACUGAGACACGGUCCAGACUCCUACGGGAGGCAGCAGUGGGGAAUAUUGGACAAUGGGCGAAAGCCUGAUCCAGCCAUGCCGCGUGUGUGAAGAAGGUCUUCGGAUUGUAAAGCACUUUAAGUUGGGAGGAAGGGCAGUAAGUUAAUACCUUGCUGUUUUGACGUUACCAACAGAAUAAGCACCGGCUAACUUCGUGCCAGCAGCCGCGGUAAUACGAAGGGUGCAAGCGUUAAUCGGAAUUACUGGGCGUAAAGCGCGCGUAGGUGGUUCAGCAAGUUGGAUGUGAAAUCCCCGGGCUCAACCUGGGAACUGCAUCCAAAACUACUGAGCUAGAGUACGGUAGAGGGUGGUGGAAUUUCCUGUGUAGCGGUGAAAUGCGUAGAUAUAGGAAGGAACACCAGUGGCGAAGGCGACCACCUGGACUGAUACUGACACUGAGGUGCGAAAGCGUGGGGAG
rnacentral:rRNA from 1 species